UGGGCAUUUUCCACGCUGUGAGGAGAGCCAGAGGCGGUGGCUUCAACCCCUACGAAGGAGAAAAAGCGGUGGAGGAGAAAGAAUUAGGCACAGAACUACCCACCUUGGGGAGAUAUUUCCCCCGCCUCCUGCCUCCAGUGAUAAAUCACCGAGGUCAAUGAGCUGCCCUGACAAACGCCCCGCUGCUGCACAAUGCAGCAUUACCCCCGAGAGAAAUCUAUCCCAGCCUUUUUUUUUUCAACAAAACCCCACACCUAUGGACUCUAAUCAACACCCCCGCAAAAUAAAGAAGAAACAUAAGCUGCUUGAAGUCAGGUCCAAGUGAAAAUCAUUAAUUCACAGCCAGGAAAUGGGGCUGCAGGAUGCUGUAAUCACCACUGACGCGAUGAAAUAAAGCUGGGAUAUAAAAUGUCAAAGCCCUGCUUGCAGACAUGUGCCAUGCAUCUAUUUUCAGAAAUAGGGUGGGUUGUGUUUUCUUUUUUCCUCUUUUUUUUUUUUUUUUUUCCCCUUGAUUUUUUUUAACACAGCGUAUAAUUUGCAGGCUGGUAACGCUUGCAUAACAGGCUGCAUCGAUUUCGCCUCCCGUAUCAAAAACACAGUAUGUGUUAAAAAUAAAUCCCAGCACUGGGUAUUUAGGUGACAAUCCUAGCCUGAUCCUGCUUUGGGAUCCUCCCAUAAACAUAUCGCAGCCUGGAUAGCUUGCUUUUGCAGGGAGACUGGAAAAAAAGGAGAAUAGUGCACGGUGGUUUGGUGUUUCUUUUUCUUUUUUUUUUUUUUUUUUUACAUCCUGGCCAUGCUCCAAAUUACGAAGCUGGAGACAUUCAGGGCUUGCACUGCUCCACUUAUUUUUAACCCAGAAUGAUUCCGUCUGCUUUUCAUCCUUCUACCUCAACCAGACCACAUUUCAUGAAAGAGCUGUUAGCUUUUUCGGUUGCACUGAAUACAGGAAGAUGAAGGAAUUUGCAUACAGGAAGGUGAAGGAAAUGCGUCCGAAUGGUCUGCUGGAAAGGACAACGCUGCAGCAAUCUGGCUGGGAUAUGUUUGUAAUUAACUCAGGUCAACCAAAGGAAAAAAAAAAAAAAAAAAAAAAAAAAAAAAAAAAAA